rnacentral:rRNA from 1 species
AUAUCAAUAAGCGGAGGAAAAGAAACCAACAGGGAUUGCCCUAGUAACGGCGAGUGAAGCGGCAACAGCUCAAAUUUGAAAUCUGGCUUCGGCCCGAGUUGUAAUUUGCAGAGGAAGCUUUAGGCGCGGCACCAACUGAGUCCCCUGGAACGGGGCGCCACAGAGGGUGAGAGCCCCGUAUAGUUGGACGCCUAGCCUGUGUAAAGCUCCUUCGACGAGUCGAGUAGUUUGGGAAUGCUGCUCAAAAUGGGAGGUAAAUUUCUUCUAAAGCUAAAUACCGGCCAGAGACCGAUAGCGCACAAGUAGAGUGAUCGAAAGAUGAAAAGCACUUUGAAAAGAGGGUUAAAUAGCACGUGAAAUUGUUGAAAGGGAAGCGCUUGUGACCAGACUUGCGCCCGGCUGAUCAUCCGGUGUUCUCACCGGUGCACUCUGCCGGGCUCAGGCCAGCAUCGGUUCUCGCGGGGGGAUAAAGGUCCUGGGAACGUAGCUCCUCCGGGAGUGUUAUAGCCCAGGGCGUCAUGCCCUCGCGGGGACCGAGGUUCGCGCAUCUGCAAGGAUGCUGGCGUAAUGGUCAUCAGCGA